rnacentral:rRNA from 1 species
UUAGAGUUUGAUCCUGGCUCAGGAUGAACGCUAGCGACAGGCCUAACACAUGCAAGUCGAGGGGUAACAGGGGCUUCGGCCCGCUGACGACCGGCGCACGGGUGAGUAACGCGUAUGCAACCCGCCUGUAACAGCGGGAUAGCUCCCUGAAAGGGGAAUUAACACCGCAUAAGACCACGCUCUCGCAUGGGGACGGGGUAAAAUAUUUAUAGGUUACAGAUGGGCAUGCGUGACAUUAGUUAGUUGGUGAGGUAACGGCUCACCAAGACUGCGAUGUCUAGGGGUUCUGAGAGGAAGGUCCCCCACACUGGGACUGAGACACGGCCCAGACUCCUACGGGAGGCAGCAGUGAGGAAUAUUGGACAAUGGAUGGAAAUCUGAUCCAGCCAUGCCGCGUGCAGGAAGACGGCCUUAUGGGUUGUAAACUGCUUUUAUACGGGAGCAAUAAGGGUUACGAGUAAUCCGAUGAGAGUACUGUAUGAAUAAGGAUCGGCUAACUCCGUGCCAGCAGCCGCGGUAAUACGGAGGAUCCGAGCGUUAUCCGGAAUUAUUGGGUUUAAAGGGUGCGUAGGCGGCCAUUUAAGUCAGCGGUGAAAUUUUGCAGCUUAACUGUAACAGUGCCGUUGAUACUGUUUGGCUAGGAUUUGGUUGUAGUGUGCGGAAUGUGUGGUGUAGCGGUGAAAUGCUUAGAUAUCACACAGAACACCGAUUGCGAAGGCAGCACACUAAGUCAUUAUUGACGCUGAGGCACGAAAGUGUGGGGAUCAAACAGGAUUAGAUACCCUGGUAGUCCACACUGUAAACGAUGAUAACUCGCUGUCGGCGAUACACAGUCGGUGGCCAAGCGAAAGCAUUAAGUUAUCCACCUGGGGAGUACGACCGCAAGGUUGAAACUCAAAGGAAUAGACGGGGGCCCGCACAAGCGGAGGAACAUGUGGUUUAAUUCGAUGAUACGCGAGGAACCUUACCCGGGCUCGAACGGUGCAUGAAUAUACGAGAGAUUGUAUAGUCCUUCGGGACAUGUAUCGAGGUGCUGCAUGGUUGUCGUCAGCUCGUGCCGUGAGGUGUCGGCUUAAGUGCCAUAACGAGCGCAACCCUUGUCAUUAGUUGCCAUCAGGUCAAGCUGGGGACUUUAAUGAGACUGCCACCGUAAGGUGUGAGGAAGGGGGGGAGGACGUCAAAUCAGCACGGCCCUUAUGUCCGGGGCGACACACGUGUUACAAUGGGAGGUACAGAGGGCAGCUAUCCGGUGACGGAAUGCUAAUCUCCAAAACCUUUCUCAGUUCGGAUUGGAGUCUGCAACUCGACUCCACGAAGGUGGAUUCGCUAGUAAUCGCGCAUCAGCCAUGGCGCGGUGAAUAAGUUCCCGGGCCUUGCACUCACCGC